AAAUAGUUUCAUUGUAGUAAUCACUGUAUCAAACAACUAACCGUUUAUGAGAUAACGGCUAACCGACAUAGAACAUAAUUGAAGAUUAGCUUCUGGACGCUGAUGACAAACCGACAUCUAGAAAAUAAUGAUCCAACAAUUUGAAAUUAUAGUACAACGAUCACUUGCUCAAGUCAAAACGGCAAUUUGAUAAAGGCUAAACGGUGAUCUGAUUGCGUGUAAAAAGUCAGCAAUGACUAGUUUUCAGCUCCAACUAUAAAAUGGCUCAAUUAAAUUCAAAUCAAAUGAGAUCUAAGAGCUAUCAUUGAAUUUGCUACUGAGCAUACAACCAUUAUUGAGGUUUAAACCUCUUUUUGUUUCAUUGAUUCACACUUUGAGCUUUCAUUUGUAACCAUAUACAUUGUGUGAGAAAAUUCAUUUGUAAUCUUUAUUUUUGAGUGAUUGUAAGUGUUGGGACACACUUAAAUUAGGAGAUUAGGGAUAAUCUCUUGUUGUAAAGGUCUAUACCUUGGAAGUUAAUUGUAAGAGUUGUUGAAGCCUUAGAGGCUCGCUUAGUGAAAUCCUUAAGCCCGGUGAGCUUGGAGGCGUGGAUGUAGGCACGGUUGGCCGAACCACGUAAAAAUCGCGUGUUUACUUUCUCUUACCCUAUCUCUUUAUUUUUCAUUGCAUGUUAAUUUAUUUAUUUCGAAUUUGGUUGCUUUGUUUAAAUUGCAUUAAGUUUUAGUUGCUUAAACUUUUAGAAUGCCAAUUCACCCCCCUCUUGGGUUGCCUAGUUAGUAUUUUAGAUAUUUAUAAUUUUAUUUAUUAAAAUCAUGAUAUCAUUUAUUCAUUUAAUAAAUUAUAAGCAUAAAAUAAUUAGAGUAUUUUUUUAAACUAAGAUUUAAAUGAAUUUAGAAAACCUAUGCUACUAAAAAAAAUUAAAAGAUUCAAUUCAAGCCAUCUAGAAAAUCAUAAAUUUUAAAUUUUACUUCUAAUUAAUUUUUUUUACUUUGAUAUACUUUGCCUUGUAUGCUAUUCAUGACUCAUAGGCUUUUUAUGGCCCAUAGGCUGUGUGCUAGCCCACAAAUGAAGUAUGCAUAUGGCAAGCUUUUUCAAGUGUUGUGCUUUAGCUCACAUCUAUCGUGCUACAUUUUUAGGCUCACGUCCUGAAAAUUUUCAGUCCAGCCCAGUUCACAUGCAUGCCAUACUAUAUUGCAUACCUAUUAAAAUGUCCUUGUAUAGUAUCAUACUGUAUGGACACAUGUCGUGCCUGUACCAUUCCAUGUGAUGCCUGGUCCAUUCGCCAUCUCUACAUAGAUGGAUAUGUACAGAAGGAAAGAGGAAAAGAGAAAUGAUUUUGUGCAUAAAAAAUUCAUUGCGUUGUUACUAACAUUAACAUUACUCAAUACACUGUUAAUUGAAGUAUUAUUCUCUUAGACAUCAUCAAAAUCUCAAAUUGGUUCUCAUGCCUGAGAAUUCGAUGAUAAAGUGAUAAUCUUCUUAUUGGCUUUUAGAAAUUUCGUUAUUGCUACUACACUGUUUAGAAAAUUUACUUAUCUUUUUCUCCAUAAAAAAUCACCUUUUUAAAAAAAUUUAUUAUGGAGCCACAUCUUUUUAUACGGUUUUGCUACCCUUAAAAAAAAAAAACUCUUUAUAAGGUUGAAAAUUAUUCUAAAAUAAAAUCGAUGACAAAAAACAUUGAUUGAAAUUUCUAUUUUUCAUGUCUUUUAGUUUGAUACUUAUUUUAAUAAAUAGGGUGUUCUACUUAUUGGGAUGCACAUAUAAUAAUUUUCAAAUUACGGAUACCUCACUUUAAUAUGGUCAAGACCAAGCUAAAAGAUUAAAAACAAUCACACUACAAUGUAGUGUAUUUUAUCCUAUUAUGUAUAAAAGUUUGUGCUUUUAUCUUUUAACUUUGUUCAAACCAUAUUAAAGUCAAAGAUCCCUAAUUGAAAAAUUUAGUGUCUAUUUUAGUCAUAUGUAUUGUCACAAUUGUUGGACAAAAAACUUUAUUAAACCCAAAAUAUUACUUUUUAAACUAAUAUCUACUAAAUGCUAACUACUCUUCUUCGUAGUUAAUUAUUUUUAUCAACACUAUGAAACCGACUCUAAAGAUAACAACAUAUGCUUGAAUGAUAUAUCAUCUCUUAUUUCUUAAGAAAUAUUUGUAUUUGAUUACCUACCAUCUCAACCUGACACUAAUGUUCUUCCAAAUAAAGAGUAUUGGGUCUUAUUUUAGAAUACACUAUAUGUUGAAUGUUAAAUUUAAUAAGUCCAAAACCAAGACUCACUUGUGGCCGCACAAUGAACCUACCAUCUCAGCAAGCUAGUCCUAUAGAAGUAUUUCUUCUCUAUCUUUAGAGUAGUCUGGUCCUACCAUCUUAACAGGUUGAGGUGGUAGGACUAGCCAACAAUACUUUGCCACUUAGCUAAGCAGUGAGUCUCAUUAUAGGACCCAUGUUUUAAUAUUAAAUUUUCGUGAGUCUCAAGUUGAAACCCACUUAAGCUACUACUGAAAGUGUUUCAAGAACUCAACUAAGAUUGUUUCACACAACGUGAGAUUGAGCAAUAACAAUAAAUUGACCUCACUUUGCAAUCUAAGUGUCUUGCCUCCAAAGUGAUUUACAUUAUUCACUCUAUAUUUUAAAGGUUUUUCCUCUAGCCAAUCACUUGUAGAGAAUAGUCUUAU
rnacentral:lncRNA from 1 species